CAAUAGCGUAUAUUUAAGUUGCUGCAGUUAAAAAGCUCGUAGUUGGAUUUCGGGUGGGAAUGGCCGGUCCGCCGUUUCGGUGUGCACUUGCUACGCCCACCUUGCUGCCGGGGACGUGCUCUUGAGUUCACGCUCGGGACACGGAGUCGGCGAGGUUACUUUGAGUAAAUUAGAGUGUUCAAAGCAGGCCUACGCUCUGAAUACAUUAGCAUGGAAUAACACGAUAGGACUCUGGCCUAUCUUGUUGGUCUGUAGGACCGGAGUAAUGAUUAAGAGGGACAGUCGGGGGCAUUCGUAUUUCAUUGUCAGAGGUGAAAUUCUUGGAUUUAUGAAAGACGAACUACUGCGAAAGCAUUUGCCAAGGAUGUUUUCAUUAAG
rnacentral:rRNA from 1 species